AGGAUUAACGCUGGCGGCGUGCAUGAAACAUGCAAGUCGAGCGCGGUGUGAUGCGGGGUAACCCAAUUCACAUCUAGCGGCGAACGGGUGAGUAACACGUGAGCAACCUACCUUUGAGUUGGGGAUAGCCCUGGGAAACCAGGAUUAAUACCCGAUGUGGUCACAACAGGACAUCCUGAUGUGAGUAAAGGCGCAAGCCGCUCAAUGACGGGCUCGCGGCCUAUUAGCUUGUUGGUGGGGUAACGGCCUACCAAGGCGAUGAUGGGUAGCUGGUCUGAGAGGACGAUCAGCCACACUGGGAUUGAGAACGGCCCAGACUCCUACGGGGGCAGCAGUGAGGAAUUUUCCGCAAUGGAGGCAACUCUGACGGAGCAACGCCGCGUGCAGGAGGAAGGUUUUCGGAUCGUAAACUGCUUUUCGUCGGGGACGAGCGAAGGACGGUACCCGAGGAACGAAGCCCCGGACUAACGUACGUGCCAGCAGCCGC
rnacentral:rRNA from 1 species